GGAGCCGUGUCCAACCGCUCUGCACUCAUUCCCCUCCAGCCAGAGCAGUACGACAGCAGCCUCAAUCACCAUGACCUCCUUCUCAAACCGUAGCUUUGUGGCCUCUGGUGGAUCCAUGAGAAUGGGCUAUCUUCGCAAUUCCGGUGGUAGCAUGGGAGGUGGACAGAUCAGCACCAUAGGGGCCGGCAGCGUGUACAGGGAUGCAGGUGGCUCCGGGGUGCGCAUCUCCAAUGCCUCUAACACUUACUCUGCUGGUGGUGGUUUUGGCAUGGGUGGUGGGGCUGGUGGCUUCAACGUGUCUGACUCUGUCGAUGUGAACGAGAACAAGAAGGCCACCAUGCAGAACCUGAACGACCGCCUGUCCUCCUACCUGGACAAGGUCCGCUCCCUGGAGAAGGCCAACGCUGAUCUGGAGCAUAAGAUCUGCAUGUUCCUGGAGGCCAGGACCAAGACAGAAUUUCAUGACUGGACUGCCUUCAAGGUUACCAUCCAUGAACUCCAAGACAGGAUCGUUGAUGCCACUCGUUUGAAUGGAGGAAUCUACCUGGCCAUUGACAACGCUAAGCUGGCCACAGAUGACUUUCAAGCAAAGUAUGAGAAUGAGCUGGCUAUGAGGCAGGCUGUGGAGGCCGACAUCAGUGGGCUGAGGAGGGUGCUGGACGAGCUGACCUUGGCCAGAUCUGACCUGGAGAUGCAGAUUGAGGGGCUUAGAGAGGAGUUGACCCACCUCAAGAUGAACCACGAGGAGGACCUCUUGGCCAUGCAUAAUCAAAUGAGCGGCCAGGUCAACGUGGAGGUGGACGCUGCACCACAGGAAGAUCUCACCAAAGUCAUGGCUGAAAUCCGCGACCACUACGAGGCCGUCGCUAACAAGAACUGUAAAGAUCUGGAGGGCUGGUUCAAUGCCAAGUCAGAAGAAAUCAACAAUGUCGUGGCAGUCAGCACAGAGACCCUCCAAUCAUCCAGAUCUGAAAUCACUGAAGUUAAGCGCACACUGCAAAGUCUAGAAAUCGAACUCCAAUCCCAACUCAGCAUGAAAGCAUCUCUGGAAGGCACCCAGGCUGAAACACAGAGCCGCUAUGCCAAUAUGCUAGCUGGCUAUCAGAGGCAGGUGACCAGCCUGGAGGACCAGCUUGGUCAUCUUCGUGCUGACCUGGACCGCCAGGGCCAACAGUACAGAAUGCUACUAGACAUCAAGACCAGAUUGGAAAUGGAGAUCGCUGAGUACAGGAGACUGCUGGAAGGAGAGUUUUCCAGUCCCUCAACCGUCACCACCACUAAUACCUUUUUGCAGAAGGUGGUAACCUAUGUGCAGGAGAUUGUUGAAGGCGAGGUGGUCAGCACCAACUCAGACGCUGUGCAAGAGAUUGUGGAUGAGGAUAAAUUUUGAAUUGGGAGCCACACAGAAUAGACCACAAACCCCCUGAUGCCUGCUGUCAUCCUUGCUCAGAGCGAUUAAGAAAUAAAAGUGAUCCGAGAAAAAGAUGUCCAGACUCACCCAGACACAGGACAUCCCCCCCAAGCCCUUAAGAUAAGUAGCCUACUACCUGCA